CUGUGAUUUAUGAUUGCCAGCGCAUCUGAAACUAUUUGGGACAUCUCCAUUAAUCUUGGCAGUACAGUUGGCCUCAAGAUGGCCGUAUCUCCGACAAUGAUAACAUAUAAUUGCAUGGUAUCUGUCUCUCACUCUGUAUAUUCCUCAUUCUAAUUUUAACUUGUGAUACUUGUGAAUAAGCUCUCUCACAGUUGGGUCACACCUCAGAAUGUAGUGCAUCGUGCCGCCAACUGCAGGCUUACUAAAAAUCAGCUUAAUCUUAUUCUCACCAUCAAUGGCGUGUAAGAACUCAUUGGGGUCUAAGAUGUUCUCUUUAUCCACAUUGCAUAUCAUGAUCUUUGGUUUCAUCUUCCCAACACGCCUGGUGCUAAUUUGCUCAACAGACUCAAAUUUUGGGCAGCCUCAUUUCUUAUAUUCUCAUUAUCAAAGUUCAUUACAAGAUUACCUCCAUUAGCGAAUCUUGAAUGCCUUGUAAUGCCUGGGAGACCUCACUUUUUAACCCAGUAGUCUUUUUAUCUCGCUCAGAGGCCUCAUUUCUUAUAUUCUCAUCAUCAAAGUUCAUUACAAGAUUACCUCCAUUAGUGAAUCUUGAACCAGUGAUCUGAAUGCCUUGUAAUGCCUGGGAGACCUCACUUUUUAACCCAGUAGCCAUUUCAUCUCGCUCAGAGGCCUCAUUUCUUAUAUUCUCAUCAUCAAAGUUCAUUACAAUAUUACCUCCAUUAGUGAAUCUUGAACCAGUAAUCUGAAUGCCUUGUAAUGCCUGGGAGACUUCACUUUUUAACCCAGUAGCCGUUUUAUCUCGCUCAGAGGCCUCAUUUCUUAUAUUCUCAUCAUCAAAGUUCAUUACAAUAUUGCCUCCAUUAGUGAACCUUGAACCAGUAAUCUGAAUGCCUUGUAAUGCCUGGGAGACUUCACUUUUUAACCCAGUAGCCGUUUUAUCUCGCUCAGAGGCUUUAACAACAAGUAGAUUCUUCCUAGCUUUCCUCCUGCGUUUGGUGACCUCAGCCCAGCUUGUACCCGCUGACUCUGCAUAAUCAGCGCUCUGCAACACCUCAGCAACCUUCCCCACCUCUUCUCUCUCACUCACCACAUGAGACUCAACCCAGGAGGAGGAGGAAGAGGAGGAGGAGAUUGCAAAAGAGCUUACUGUAUAGGCCUUAAGCUCUCAACAAAGGCCUUUCUCAAUGUCCUCUCUAUCUCAGUCUAUCUAUCUAUAUGGUGUUAGUGUGCUCCAUCCUGCCCCGGUAAAGGUUCUAAUUCCACCUCUCCACCUGGUUCUUUGUCUGUCCAACUCCCUGGUGCAAGAGUUAACCAGCAUCUUCACUCUUUCAUCCCUGGCAAAGGUUCUAAUUCCACCUCUUCACCUGUCCUCUCUCUGUCUGUCUGGUGUUAGUGUGCUCCAUCUUGCCCCGGUAAAGGUUCUAAUUCCACCUCUCCACCUGUCCUCUCUCUGUCUGUCUGGUGUUAGUGUGCUCCAUCCUGCCUCGGUAAAGGUUCUAAUUGAUAUUUCCUUAGAUAAUUCUUGCUUGAGUUCAUCCAAUUUCACCACAAUUUUGGCAGCCAGAGAUGCUAUAUGAAGGCAUGGGUUGAACUCAAUUAAUUUUAGGUAUGUUCUGCUCAAUACCAGACAGAUAAGCACAUUCCACAUGACACCAUCUAGGACACAAACAGCAUCCAAUCCACUUCCUGCCUAUGAAAUCCUCACUGAUCUUUUAUACAGGUAACUCUGGAUCUACGCGAGUAUUGUGUCCUUGAAGAGGUCGCGUAAAUCAAAAACAAUGUAAAUCCAACAAGAGGUUGGUUUGUACCUUUAUUGCCUACUGUAUCACUCUGACUCCUCUCCCUCUCGUGGUUCCUCCUCUGGCUGCCCUUCCCCUCGUGGUAGCACAGCAGCGAGGGUGUUGUUGUUGUUGAGUAGCGUGGCAGCGUGGGUACUGUAUUGUUGUUCAAGUGGCGCGCGGGAAGAACUGAGCUCAGCUGUGUGGCCGUGUGAGUCCAGUUGCGUGAGACAUCUGGGGGCCACUCCAUAAAAUAUCACGUAUAAGUGAAAAAAACGCGUAAAUUAAACAUUUAUAUGGAUUUUGGACCACGCGUUAUUUCAAAAACGCG